rfam:Pachysolen tannophilus NRRL Y-2460 unplaced genomic scaffold PACTA_scaffold_1, whole genome shotgun sequence.
GUCCCAGUGGCCGAGUGGUUAAGGCGACGCCCUGCUAAGGCGUUGUGCUCUGCAUGCGCAGGUUCGAAUCCUGUCUGUGACG